rnacentral:rRNA from 1 species
UGGGGAAUCUUGGACAAUGGGCGCAAGCCUGAUCCAGCCAUGCCGCGUGUGUGAAGAAGGCCUUCGGGUUGUAAAGCUCUUUUGCCGGGGACGAUAAUGACGUUACCGACAGAAUAAGCACCGGCUAACUCCGUGCCAGCAGCCGCGGUAAUACGGGGGGUGCAAGCGUUAAUCGGAAUUAUUGGGCGUAAAGGGUGCGUAGGUUGUUUGAUAAGAUAUAUGUGAAAUACCUGGGCUCAACCUGGGAAGGUCAUAUAAGACUGUCAGACUCGAGUAUGGGAGAGGGUAGAGGAAUUUCCGGUGUAGCGGUGAAAUGCAUAGAUAUCGUCAAGAACACCGAUAGCGAAGGCAGCUUACCAAGCUGUAACUGACACUGAGGCACGAAAGUGUGGGGAUCAAACAGGAUUAGAUACCCGCGUAGUCCCUGAGCGGGCUGGCAAGGCGCAU